GUGCCAGCCGCCGCGGUAAUACGUAGGUGGCAAGCGUUGUCCGGAAUUAUUGGGCGUAAAGCGCGCGUAGGUGGGAUCAUAAGUCUUAUGUAAAAGUGCGGGGCUCAACCCCGUAAAGCGUGAGAAACUGUGAUUCUUGAGUGCAGGAGAGGAAAGCGGAAUUCCCAGUGUAGCGGUGAAAUGCGUAGAUAUUGGGAGGAACACCAGUGGCGAAGGCGGCUUUCUGGACUGUGUCUGACACUGAGGCGCGAAAGCUAGGGGAGCGAACGGGAUUAGAAACCCUCGUAGUCC
rnacentral:rRNA from 1 species